GGCCUCCCAAUGCUUACCACAGGCUGUGUUCUUUACACUGACUUAUAGAAGAAGAGGUACAGUAAAUGCUCCCCAUAUACACCUCAAACCAGGCCCUUUGCCUGAAAAAAUAUGAAAUAUAAAUAUAUAUAC